UCGAGAAUCUUCCGCAAUGGACGCAAGUCUGACGGAGCGACGCCGCGUGCGGGAUGAAGGCCCUCGGGUUGUAAACCGCUGUCAGUGGGGAGCAAAUGCAUCAGGGCUAUCCCUGGUGUUUGAGCAAUCCGCAGAGGAAGUACGGGCUAAGUUCGUGCCAGCAGCCGCGGUAACACGAACCGUACAAACGUUAUUCGGAAUCACUGGGCUUAAAGAGUCCGUAGGCGGUUUGGUAGGUGAGGUGUGAAAUCCCACGGCUCAACCGUGGAACUGCGCUUCAAACCACCAAGCUAGAGGGAGAUAGAGGUGAGCGGAACUGAUGGUGGAGCGGUGAAAUGCGUUGAUAUCAUCAGGAACACCGGUGGCGAAAGCGGCUCACUGGGUCUCUUCUGACGCUGAGGGACGAAAGCUAGGGGAGCGAACGGGAUUAGAUACCCCCGUAGUCC
rnacentral:rRNA from 1 species